rnacentral:rRNA from 1 species
AAUGCUUGGGAAUCUGGCUUAUGGAGGGGGAUAACUGUGGGAAACUGCAGCUAAUACCGCGUAUUCUCUGAGGAGGAAAGGGUGGGACCUUAGGGCCACCUGCCAUAAGAUGAGCCCAAGUGGGAUUAGGUAGUUGGUGGGGUAAAGGCCUACCAAGCCUGCGAUCUCUAGCUGGUCUGAGAGGAUGACCAGCCACACUGGAACUGAGACACGGUCCAGACUCCUACGGGAGGCAGCAGUGGGGAAUAUUGCGCAAUGGGGGGAACCCUGACGCAGCCAUGCCGCGUGAAUGAAGAAGGCCUUCGGGUUGUAAAGUUCUUUCGGUAAUGAGGAAGGGAUGUUGUUAAAUAGAUAGCAUCAUUGACGUUAAUUACAGAAGAAGCACCGGCUAACUCCGUGCCAGCAGCCGCGGUAAUACGGAGGGUGCGAGCGUUAAUCGGAAUAACUGGGCGUAAAGGGCACGCAGGCGGACUUUUAAGUGAGAUGUGAAAUCCCCGAGCUUAACUUGGGAACUGCAUUUCAGACUGGGAGUCUAGAGUACUUUAGGGAGGGGUAGAAUUCC